AAUGAACGCUGGCGGCGUGCUUAACACAUGCAAGUCGUACGAGAAAUCCUUGGCUUGCCAGGGAGAGUAAAGUGGCGCACGGGUGAGUAUCGCGUGGGUAAUCUACCCUUGGAUUCAGGAUAACACUUCGAAAGGGGUGCUAAUACUGGAUAACAUCCUUUUGGUUUAGGCUGGGAGGAUCAAAGAUAGCCUCUACAAGUAAGCUAUUGUUCAGGGAUGAGCCUGCGUACCAUUAGCUAGUUGGUGGGGUAAGAGCCUACCAAGGCGACGAUGGUUAGCUGGUCUUAGAGGAAGAUCAGCCAGACUGGAAAUGGAACACGGUCCAGACUCCUACGGGAGGCAGCAGUGAGGAAUUUUGCGCAAUGGGGGAAACCCUGACGCAGCAACGCCGCGUGAGUGAAGAAGGCUUUCGGGUCGUAAAGCUCUGUCAAGAGGGAAGAAAGUGGGGGAUGGUAAUACUGUUUUCUAUUGACGGUACCUCUGAAGGAAGCACCGGCUAACUCCGUGCCAGCCGCCGCCGUAAGAC
rnacentral:rRNA from 1 species